GGGUCAAUGUCCUAUCAGCUAGUUGGUAAGGUAAUGGCUUACCAAGGCUAAGACGGGUAGCCGGCCUGAGAGGGUGGUCGGCCACACUGGGACUGAGACACUGCCCAGACUCCUACGGGAGGCUGCAGUCGAGAAUCUUUCGCAAUGCCCGAAAGGGUGACGAAGCGACGCCGCGUGUGGGAAGAAGGCCUUCGGGUUGUAAACCACUGUCGGGAGUUAAGAAAUGUAAGGGUGUUAAUAGCAUCCUUACUUGACUAAGGCUCCGGAGGAAGCCACGGCUAACUCUGUGCCAGCAGCCGCGGUAAUACAGAGGCGGCAAGCGUUGUUCGGAAUUAUUGGGCGUAAAGAGCACGUAGGCGGCUUUGUAAGUCAGUUGUGAAAGCCUUCCGCUUAACGGAAGAACAGCAUCUGAUGCUGCAAGGCUAGAGUGCGGAAGGG
rnacentral:rRNA from 1 species